rnacentral:rRNA from 1 species
UUAAAUUGAAGAGUUUGAUCAUGGCUCAGAUUGAACGCUGGCGGCAGGCCUAACACAUGCAAGUCGAGCGGAAACGAGUUAUCUGAACCUUCGGGGAACGAUAACGGCGUCGAGCGGCGGACGGGUGAGUAAUGCCUAGGAAAUUGCCCUGAUGUGGGGGAUAACCAUUGGAAACGAUGGC